AUGGAGCACCGGAAGCAGCAGCGGAGCCCCAGUCCCCGGAGCGGCGGCAGCUCGGGCAAGCACGGCGGCAAGGGGGCCAGCAAGGCGGGCGGCAGCGGGGGCAAGAAGCCGAUCAAGGUGGUGUACAUCUCCAACCCCAUGAGGGUCAAGACCAGCGAGGCCGGCUUCCGCGCCCUCGUCCAGGAGCUCACGGGCCGCCAUGCCGACCCCUCCAAGUACAAUACCGACGACGGCCGCGCGGCGCAGGAGCUGAGCCCGGAGGGGAGCGCGGCUGGGUCGACGCCUGACGCGGGCGCCCCCGGCUCCGCCGCCGCUGGAGGGCAGCCGGAGCUCGCCGCGGCCGCGUUCGGCGACGGCGAGGAGGAGGACAUCUUCGAAUCGCAGCUGCUGGACAACGACUACGCCGUCUUCUCGCCGUCGACGUUCCUCUACGACUACCCGCACAGCAACAAGGUGUAG
rnacentral:rRNA from 1 species